AUGGCCACGGCUCUGCUGCUUCUCCAGCUCAUAUUGGGCUCUUGCAAGCGGCGGUGGCAUCAUUCCUUCGUGAAAGGUGCCCUGAGCAUGUGUACAACACUUGCAUUCCCUCUCGUCCUCUUCACAUUGGGUAUGAUGGACUCCUUCCCAAUCAAGAGUUCCUCGUAUCCCGUCUGGGCUGCUGUUCUCUUGAUGGCUUCAGUGGGCCCGACGGUCGUCCAGAAAUAUGAAUUCUAUGGCAGCUUUGGCAAAAAGUACAUACAGGUUUUUGUCGAGACCUGUAAAUAUUGUUUCUAUGCAUAUAUGAUAUCUAGGCUAUCAAAUUCAAGUUCACCUCGAAGCUUUCUAAAGUGGCAUGGCAGUUCAAGUUCCUAG
rnacentral:rRNA from 1 species